rfam:Pristionchus pacificus strain PS312 contig1084, whole genome shotgun sequence.
UCUUCAUUCGACGUACUCUCUCGCCGGUCAGAGAGACGAGAGAGUACGAGGAAUGAAGAGA